CUGCUGCCUUCCGUAGGAGUUUGGGCCGUGUCUCAGUCCCAAUGUGGCCGUCCACCCUCUCAGGCCGGCUACUGAUCGCUGCCUUGGUGGGCCGUUACCCCGCCAACUAGCUAAUCAGACGCGGAUCCAUCGUAUACCACCGGAGUUUUUCACACUGCCCCAUGCGGAGCCGUGCGCUUAUGCGGUAUUAGCACCUAUUUCUAAGUGUUAUCCCCGGUAUACGGCAGGUUAUCCACGCGUUACUCACCCGUCCGCCAA
rnacentral:rRNA from 1 species